GGCCUUGCGCCUGGAGCUUCUCGGGCUCUGUCCCCGCCCACAGCGGCCUCGCCCCGCCCCGCCCCGCCUCGGCCACGCCCACCGCCGCUCCACGCCACGCCUCGGUCCGGCUCACCUGCAGAGCAGGCUCCUGAAGUGGUUCUACUGCCUUCGGUGGGCUUUAGCCUGAAUUAAUCAGGUACCAACUGGACCCUGAUUGGCUGAAUUUGGGUAUGCAAAUAAGAUGAAGAGAUGAUAUCAUUCAAGGAAGAGCUGUCAAACCUGGUGGGGAAAAGAGAACCCUGAGCCAACCAAAAGUUUCUAAAUCUGUAAUGGCCUCUGGUGCACACCUGUUUUUCCAGCACUCAGGGAAGCCGGCAGAUCGCUGUGAGUUCGAGGCCAGCCUGGUCUACAGGGUGAGCUCCAGGACAGCUGAGGCUGCACAGAGAAAUGAAAAUCUGCUCUACAGACAAUGUGUUUAAAAGCCUCCAGUGCUUUAAGAUCCGUCAUCAAGAGAAGCCAGAGCAAGAACUCAAGCAGAAACCUGGAGACAGGGUCUGAAGCUGAGGCCAUGGAAAGACGCUGCUUGCAGCAGUAGCUUGCUCAGUGCCUCAGGGCUGUCUGCCCUGAGAAGACACCUCCCACAGUAAACUGGGCUCUCCCAAUUAGUCAUCAAUUAAUAAUAUGCUUGACAGACUUACCCACAGGCUAAUCUGAUACAGGCAAUUCCUCAACAGAUGUUGCCUGUUCAAAAAGGACUCCAGUUUGUGUCAAGUUGACAAAAAAAAAAAAAUUAACCAGCACAAAUCUCAAGGAGCUUUCUAAUUAUGGCCAUUUCUUCCUAAGUACCUUUCCAUAUACCAUAUAAGAAAUUAAAGCUGAAAAGUAUUUAGAAUAUUCCUUUUUCUUUAUACAUAUUCUAAGAAACAUAAAAAUAAAAUAAGGUAUGGUUUGCAGAAUAAAAGCUUGAGAAGAAUAUCCCUUUUCUUUGUGUUUCUACAAGUUUUGCUAGUAUUUGACUUAAUAGAAGACAAUGGAAGUCCCACACCUGCUUCUGAAUUCUCUCUGUGGUGAUGUUACAUGGCUUGUGUCCUCUGGGAAACUUUCCUUUGGGCUCAUGAUAGAAUGAGGGUUCAAAGGCAAAUAAUGUCUCAGCGGACCCCCUCAAAAGAUUUCUAGGAUCCUCAAGGGUGUCCAGACUUCCUCUCGAGAGCUACAGCUCUAAAUAUUUACUUAGAUAUCUGCUAAACUCUGAGGAAGGUCUAGACAGCUGCAUUCCAAAAGCAGAGAAUGGGAUUAUCACAGGAAGUAAUAUGGAAGAGUCUAAUUCUCCCCUGCCUCAGACUCAUCGUUUUUCUUUUCUGACUUUUAACUUGGGUAAGCACGAUGCACGGCUGCAGACAGCUCAGAAGACAUAUGAAGCGACACGGGGACACUGCCACUUGGCUCACUGUGGUGGGAAGAGCAAAGACCAAUGCCAGAAGGUCUCUCUAGGAGAAGCCACAGCAAGAAACCCUGAUUUGCUUGCGUUUCCAGACAGAGCCCUGCAUAGAAAGGACCAUAGAGAGAGCCAGACUGCAAGGCAAGAAUAUGAGGAUGGACAUUGGGAAGCCAAUGAAUUCUACCACAAAGAAUCUUAGUAAGGACACCAUCUGCCCUUUGUAUAUAGUCUUAAACAGACAUACUUGAUCUGGCCUCUGAGUUUGAAAGUAUUGAAUAUCAAGUUUUUAUUCCUGGUUUAAGACAUUCAGUUGCCAUGGCCUAUCAUCACACUCGUUCUUUGAUAUGAAUGCUGAAUCUGCUGGGGGAAACAUAGAUGUUCUGGUUUGCAUGUUUGCUGUGUUACAGAGGACAGUUUAAAUUCAUAUCACUGAAAAUUUUAACAUGCUUAUCUCAAAUGCUCUGCUUUUAUGAUGAGCACAUACUCUUUAAAACUUGAACUAUUGGUCUCCAGGAGGAUCCACCUGGCUUGACCAGGAGAGGAGAUGCAGGCUGGACAGCACACUAGAAGAAACUACAAAACCAAGACUGUUGAGGCAGUCAAAUCCACGGGGAAAGACCAAAGACCUAAGCUCAAUUCAAAUUGAGAUUAAAUGAAUUUCUUCUUACUGCUGCCAGGGCAGCAGGCUUAGAGCCAAACAGCAUGCCCUGCUGAGGAGGGCUAAGGAAGGGUUUAUAGAGGGGCCUAUGAAAGGUGUGCAAUCAGUUUUGGAAUCCACAGCUGGGCGAGAAAAUAGUUUCCCUCCCCUCAGUUGUUUCUCUGUUUCUCUGUAUAGCAAUAGAAAGACCACUUCUUCCUAGUCGCCCUGGCGAUAAGGGAGUUCACAAACACGGAAAGCAAGCAGUGAAAUCCUUCACGGCAGGAACAACUUUAACCUAUUCAUAUCUCACCGAAGGCCUCUAGGCCCUCACAGGCAUCCCAGGGCAAAGGUCCAUG